ACUGAGCGGCGGACGGGUGAGUAACGCGUAUGCAACCUACCUUUAACAGGGGGAUAACACUGAGAAAUUGGUACUAAUACCCCAUAAUAUCAUAGAAGGCAUCUUUUAUGGUUGAAAAUUCCGAUGGUUAGAGAUGGGCAUGCGUUGUAUUAGCUAGUUGGUGGGGUAACGGCUCACCAAGGCGACGAUACAUAGGGGGACUGAGAGGUUAACCCCCCACACUGGUACUGAGACACGGACCAG
rnacentral:rRNA from 1 species